rnacentral:rRNA from 1 species
UAGGGAAUCUUCGGCAAUGGGGGGAACCCUGACCGAGCAACGCCGCGUGAGUGAAGAAGGUUUUCGGAUCGUAAAGCUCUGUUGUUAAGGAAGAACGAGUGUGAGAAUGGAAAGUUCAUACUGUGACGGUACUUAACCAAAAAGGGACGGCUAACUACGUGCCAGCAGCCGCGGUAAUACGUAGGUCCCGAGCGUUGUCCGGAUUUAUUGGGCGUAAAGCGAGCGCAGGCGGUUAGAAAAGUCUGAAGUGAAAGGCAGUGGCUCAACCAUUGUAGGCUUUGGAAACUGUUUAACUUGAGUGCAGAAGGGGAGAGUGGAAUUCCAUGUGUAGCGGUGAAAUGCGUAGAUAUAUGGAGGAACACCGGUGGCGAAAGCGGCUCUCUGGUCUGUAACUGACGCUGAGGCUCGAAAGCGUGGGGAGCGAACAGGAUUAGAUACCCUGGUAGUCCACGCCGUAAACGAUGAGUGCUAGGUGUUAGGUCCUUUCCGGGACUUAGUGCCGCAGCUAACGCAUUAAGCACUCCGCCUGGGGAGUACGACCGCAAGGUUG